rnacentral:rRNA from 1 species
UACGUAGGCAGCAAGCGUUGUUCGGAGUUACUGGGCGUAAAGGGUGCGUAGGCGGCUUUUUAAGUUUGGUGUGAAAUCUCCCGGCUCAACUGGGAGGGUGCGCCGAAUACUGAGAGGCUAGAGUGCGGGAGAGGAAAGUGGAAUUCCUGGUGUAGCGGUGAAAUGCGUAGAUAUCAGGGGGAACACCGGUGGUGUAAACGGCUUUCUGGACCGUAACUGACGCUGAGGCACGAAAGCGUGGGUAGCAUACAGG